UACAGAGGUCUCAAGCGUUGUUCGGAUUCAUUGGGCGUAAAGGGUGUGUAGGUGGCGCCGUAAGUCGGGUGUGAAAUUUCGGAGCUUAACUCCGAAACUGCAUUCGAUACUGCGGUGCUUGAGGACUGGAGAGGAGACUGGAAUUCAUGGUGUAGCAGUGAAAUGCGUAGAGAUCAUGAGGAAGACCAGUGGCGAAGGCGGGUCUCUGGACAGUUACUGACACUGAGGCACGAAGGCCAGGGGAGCAAACGGG
rnacentral:rRNA from 1 species